CACGUAGGGUGCGAGCGUUGUCCGGAAUUAUUGGGCGUAAAGAGCUCGUAGGCGGUGUGUCGCGUCGGCCGUGAAAACCUGCAGCUUAACUGUGGCUUGCGGUCGAUACGGGCAUCACUGGAGUUCGGCAGGGAGACUGGAAUUCCGUGGUGAUAGCGGUGAAAUGCGCAGAUAUCAGGAGGAAUACCGGUGGCGAAGGCGGCAUCCUGGACCGACAUUGACGCUGAACGGCGAAAGCUAGGGAGCAACGGG
rnacentral:rRNA from 1 species